rnacentral:misc_RNA from 1 species
GAGUGGGUGCUGUCGGUGCUCUUGGGGCAGCGGCGAUAGGUGUUACUGGUCCAGCCGCAGUUGCUGGGCUAACAAUUGCAGCUGUUGGUGCCGCCGUUGCUGGGGGAGUAUCUGCAGAAAGUGGCAUAGGGAAGGAUGCUUCAACUGCCGCUGACCAUAUGGGAGAGGAUUUCUACAAAGUACUCCUUGAGGAAGAACCUUUCAAGUCAACAACAGUAAAGUCAAUUGUUGAGUCGUAUCGUUGGGCACCUUUCGUUCCUGUUUCACCAAACAGCUCCAUGCUUACUGUUCUGCUACU